rnacentral:rRNA from 1 species
GACGAACGCUGGCGGCGUGCUUAACACAUGCAAGUCGAACGGAAAGGCCCUGCUUUUGUGGGGUGCUCGCGUGGCGAACGGGUGAGUAACACGUGAGUAACCUGCCCUUGCCUUUGGGAUAACUUCAGGCAACUGGGGUUAAUACCGGAUAGGAGUAUCUCCUGCAUGGUGGGGGUUGGAAAGUUUCGGCGGUUGGGGAUGGACUCGCGGCUUAUCAGCUUGUUGGUGGGGUAGUGGCUUACCAAGGCUUUGACGGGUAGCCGGCCUGAGGGGGUGACCGGCCACAUUGGGACUGGGAUACGGCCCAGACUCCUACGGGAGGCAGCAGUGGGGAAUAUUGCACAAUGGGCGGAAGCCUGAUGCAGCAACGCCGCGUGCGGGAUGACGGCCUGCGGGUUGUAAACCGCUUUCGCCUGUGACGAAGCGUGAGUGACGGUAAUGGGUAAAGAAGCACCGGCUAACUACGUG